GUCGGGAUAGUUUAAUGGUUAGAAUUCACGUAUCUUCCUCGUGCGAUGCAUGGUUCGAUUCCUGCUCCCGGCG